AGAGUUUGAUCAUGGCUCAGAACGAACGUUGGCGGCGUGGAUUAGGCAUGCAAGUCGAACGAGAACCGUAGCAAUACGGGGAAAGUGGCGAAAGGGGCAGUAAUGCAUGGGUAAUCUACCCCGGGGACGUGGAUAGCCAUCCUAACGGGUGGGUAAUACACGGCGAUUCGGCGAGGGGGCAUCCUCUUGCCGGGAAAUGAAUUUCGCCUCGGGAGGAACUCAUGUCGUAUUAGCUUGUUGGCGGGGUAACGGCCCACCAAGGCAAAGAUGCGUAGCGGGUGUGAGAGCACGACCCGCGCCACUGGCACUGAGACACUGGCCAGACACCUACGGGUGGCUGCAGUCGAGGAUCUUCGGCAAUGGGCGCAAGCCUGACCGAGCGACGCCGCGUGUGCGACGAAGGCCUUCGGGUUGUAAAGCACUGUCGAGGGGGAGGAAAGCCCGCAAGGGUCUGACCUAUCCCUGGAGGAAGCACGGGCUAAGUUCGUGCCAGCAGCCGCGGUAAGACGAACCGUGCGAACGUUGUUCGGAAUCACUGGGCUUAAAGGGCGCGUAGGCGGGCAUUCAAGUCAGGGGUGUAUCCUCCAGCUCAACUGGAGAACUGCCUUUGAUACUGGGUGUCUCGAGUGAGGUAGGGGCGUGCGGAACUGAUGGUGGAGCGGUGAAAUGUGUUGAUAUCAUCAGGAACUCCGGUGGCGAAAGCGGCGCGCUGGACCUUAACUGACGCUGAGGCGCGAAAGCCAGGGGAGCAAACGGGAUUAGAUACCCCGGUAGUCCUGGCCCUAAACGAUGAGUACUAUGUAGUAGCCUUGACAUGGGGUUACUGCCGAAGCAAAAGUGCUAAGUACUCCGCCUGGGGAGUAUGGUCGCAAGGCUGAACUCAAAGGAAUUGACGG
rnacentral:rRNA from 1 species